rnacentral:rRNA from 1 species
GAUGAACGCUGGCGGCGUGCCUAAUACAUGCAAGUAGAACGCUGAGGGAGGAGCUUGCUCUUCUGGAUGAGUUGCGAACGGGUGAGUAACGCGUAGGUAACCUGCCUGGUAGCGGGGGAUAACUAUUGGAAACUAUAGCUAAUACCGCAUGACAACAGUUAUUGCAUGAUAACUGUUUAAAAGGGGCAACUGCUCCACUACCAGAUGGACCUGCGUUGUAUUAGCUAGUUGGUGAGGUAACGGAUCACCAAGGCGACGAUACAUAGCCGACCUGAGAGGGGGAUCGGCCACACUGGGACGGAGACACGGCCCAGACGCCUUCGGGAGGCAGCAGGAGGGAAUCUUCGGCAAUGGACGGAAGUCUGACCGAGCAACGCCGCGUGAGUGAAGAAGGUUUUCGGAUCGUAAAGCUCUGUUGUAAGAGAAGAACGAGUGUGAGAGUGGAAAGUUCACACUGUGACGGUAUCUUACCAGAAAGGGACGGCUAACUACGUG